rnacentral:tRNA from 1 species
GAGGUUGUGGCUCAGUGGUAGAGUGCUUGACUAGCACACAUGAGGCACUGGGUUUAAACCUCAGCACCACA